rnacentral:rRNA from 1 species
UUUGUAGAAUGAACCGGCGAGUUACGAUUUGAUGCAAGGUUAAGCAGUAAAUGUGGAGCCGUAGCGAAAGCGAGUCUGAAUAGGGCGUUUAGUAUUUGGUCGUAGACCCGAAACCAGGUGAUCUACCCUUGGUCAGGUUGAAGUUCAGGUAACACUGAAUGGAGGACCGAACCGACUUACGUUGAAAAGUGAGCGGAUGAACUGAGGGUAGCGGAGAAAUUCCAAUCGAACCUGGAGAUAGCUGGUUCUCUCCGAAAUAGCUUUAGGGCUAGCCUCAAGUGAUGAUUAUUGGAGGUAGAGCACUGUUUGGACGAGGGGCCCCUCUCGGGUUACCGAAUUCAGACAAACUCCGAAUGCCAAUUAAUUUAACUUGGGAGUCAGAACAUGGGUGAUAAGGUCCGUGUUCGAAAGGGAAACAGCCCAGACCACCAGCUAAGGUCCCAAAAUAUAUGUUAAGUGGAAAAGGAUGUGGCGUUGCCCAGACAACUAGGAUGUUGGCUUAGAAGCAGCCAUCAUUUAAAGAGUGCGUAAUAGCUCACUAGUCGAGUGACACUGCGCCGAAAAUGUACCGGGGCUAAACAUAUUACCGAAGCUGUGGAUUGUCCUUUGGACAAUGGUAGGAGAGCGUUCUAAGGGCGUUGAAGCAUGAUCGUAAGGACAUGUGGAGCGCUUAGAAGUGAGAAUGCCGGUGUGAGUAGCGAAAGACGGGUGAGAAUCCCGUCCACCGAUUGACUAAGGUUUCCAGAGGAAGGCUCGUCCGCUCUGGGUUAGUCGGGUCCUAAGCUGAGGCCGACAGGCGUAGGCGAUGGAUAACAGGUUGAUAUUCCUGUACCACCUAUAAUCGUUUUAAUCGAUGGGGGGACGCAGUAGGAUAGGCGAAGCGUGCGAUUGGAUUGCACGUCUAAGCAGUAAGGCUGAGUAUUAGGCAAAUCCGGUACUCGUUAAGGCUGAGCUGUGAUGGGGAGAAGACAUUGUGUCUUCGAGUCGUUGAUUUCACACUGCCGAGAAAAGCCUCUAGAUAGAAAAUAGGUGCCCGUACCGCAAACCGACACAGGUAGUCAAGAUGAGAAU